UACGUAGGGGGCUAGCGUUGUCCGGAAUCAUUGGGCGUAAAGCGCGUGUAGGCGGCCCGGUAAGUCCGCUGUGAAAGUCCAGGGCUCAACCCUGGGAUGCCGGUGGAUACUGUCAGGCUCGAGUCCGGAAGAGGCGAGUGGAAUUCCUGGUGUAGCGGUGAAAUGCGCAGAUAUCAGGAAGAACACCCGUGGCGAAGGCGGCUCUCUGGGCCGUAACUGACGCUGAGGAGCGAAAGCGUGGGGAGCGAACAGG
rnacentral:rRNA from 1 species